rnacentral:rRNA from 1 species
AACGAACGCUGGCGGCGUGCCUAACACAUGCAAGUCGUGCGAGAAAGUUCCUUCGGGAGCGAGUAAAGCGGCGCACGGGUGAGUAACACGUAGGUAACCUGCCCCCCAGUCUGGAACAACUAGAGGAAACUCUAGCUAAUGCCGGAUGAGACCACGAUCCCUUCGGGGGUUGCGGCCAAAGAUGGCCUCUACUUGUAAGCUAUCGCUGAGGGAUGGGCCUGCGGCAUUAGCUUGUUGGUGAGGUAACGGCUCACCAAGGCUGUGAUGGCUAGCUGGUCUGAGAGGAUGACCAGCCACACUGGACUGAGACACGGCCCAGACUCUACGGAGCAGCAGUGGGGAAUAUUGCGCAAUGGGCGAAAGCCUAGACGCAGCGACGCCG